rnacentral:rRNA from 1 species
AGUGAACGCUGGCGGUAGGCCUAACACAUGCAAGUCGAACGGCAGCACAGUAAGAGCUUGCUCUUACGGGUGGCGAGUGGCGGACGGGUGAGGAAUACAUCGGAAUCUACUUUUUCGUGGGGGAUAACGUAGGGAAACUUACGCUAAUACCGCAUACGACCUACGGGUGAAAGCAGGGGAUCUUCGGACCUUGCGCGAUUGAAUGAGCCGAUGUCGGAUUAGCUAGUUGGCGGGGUAAAGGCCCACCAAGGCGACGAUCCGUAGCUGGUCUGAGAGGAUGAUCAGCCACACUGGAACUGAGACACGGUCCAGACUCCUACGGGAGGCAGCAGUGGGGAAUAUUGGACAAUGGGCGCAAGCCUGAUCCGGCCAUACCGCGUGGGUGAAGAAGGCCUUCGGGUUGUAAAGCCCUUUUGUUGGGAAAGAAGAGCAGCAGGUUAAUACCCCGCUGUUCUGACGGUACCCAAAGAAUAAGCACCGGCUAACUUCGUG